rnacentral:rRNA from 1 species
UGGGGAAUAUUGGACAAUGGGGGGAACCCUGAUCCAGCCAUGCCGCGUGUGUGAAGAAGGCCUUAUGGUUGUAAAGCACUUUAAGCGAGGAGGAGGGUACUGGUAUUAAUACUACCAGCUACUGGACGUUACUCGCAGAAUAAGCACCGGCUAACUCUGUGCCAGCAGCCGCGGUAAUACAGAGGGUGCGAGCGUUAAUCGGAUUUACUGGGCGUAAAGCGUGCGUAGGCGGCUAAUUGAGUCGGAUGUGAAAUCCCCGAGCUUAACUUGGGAAUUGCAUUCGAUACUGGGAAGCUAGAGUAUGGGAGAGGAUGGUAGAAUUCCAGGUGUAGCGGUGAAAUGCGUAGAGAUCUGGAGGAAUACCGAUGGCGAAGGCAGCCAUCUGGCCUAAUACUGACGCUGAGGUACGAAAGCAUGGGGAGCAAACAGG